rnacentral:rRNA from 1 species
GCAUAACGCGAAGAACCUUACCAGGUCUUGACAUCCCUCUGACCGAUCCUUAACCGGAUCUUCUCUUCGGAGCAGAGGUGACAGGUGGUGCAUGGUUGUCGUCAGCUCGUGUCGUGAGAUGUUGGGUUAAGUCCCGCAACGAGCGCAACCCCUAUCCUUAGUAGCCAGCAGUUCGGCUGGGCACUCUAGGGAGACUGCCAGGGAUAACCUGGAGGAAGGCGGGGAUGACGUCAAAUCAUCAUGCCCCUUAUGAUCUGGGCUACACACGUGCUACAAUGGUGACUACAAAGGGAAGCAACCCCGCGAGGGUAAGCAAAUCCCAAAAAGGUCAUCCCAGUUCGGAUUGUAGUCUGCAACUCGACUACAUGAAGCUGGAAUCGCUAGUAAUCGCGAAUCAGAAUGUCGCGGUGAAUACGUUCCCGGGUCUUGUACACACCG